rnacentral:rRNA from 1 species
GGGGGGGGGGGGCUAACACAUGCAAGUCGAACGGCAGCACAGAAGAGCUUGCUCUUUGGGUGGCGAGUGGCGGACGGGUGAGUAAUGUCUGGGAAACUGCCCGAUGGAGGGGGAUAACUACUGGAAACGGUAGCUAAUACCGCAUAACGUCGCAAGACCAAAGUGGGGGACCUUCGGGCCUCACACCAUCGGAUGUGCCCAGAUGGGAUUAGCUAGUAGGUGGGGUAAUGGCUCACCUAGGCGACGAUCCCUAGCUGGUCUGAGAGGAUGACCAGCCACACUGGAACUGAGACACGGUCCAGACUCCUACGGGAGGCAGCAGUGGGGAAUAUUGCACAAUGGGCGCAAGCCUGAUGCAGCCAUGCCGCGUGUAUGAAGAAGGCCUUCGGGUUGUAAAGUACUUUCAGCGGGGAGGAAGGCGGUGAGGUUAAUAACCUCGCCGAUUGACGUUACCCGCAGAAGAAGCACCGGCUAACUCCGUGCCAGCAGCCGCGGUAAUACGGAGGGUGCAAGCGUUAAUCGGAAUUACUGGGCGUAAAGCGCACGCAGGCGGUCUGUUAAGUCAGAUGUGAAAUCCCCGGGCUUAACCUGGGAACUGCAUUUGAAACUGGCAGGCUUGAGUCUCGUAGAGGGGGGUAGAAUUCCAGGUGUAGCGGUGAAAUGCGUAGAGAUCUGGAGGAAUACCGGUGGCGAAGGCGGCCCCCUGGACGAAGACUGACGCUCAGGUGCGAAAGCGUGGGGAGCAAACAGGAUUAGAACGUGGG